rnacentral:lncRNA from 1 species
CUGAUAGUGCCUCUUUCACUGAAACAAACCAAAUUUCAGUACCAACUAAGAUUCAGAAAAUAAGGUAUUUAAGAUGCAGAAAAUAAGGUAUUUAAGAUGCAGGAAAUAAGGUAGUUAAAAUGCAGGAAAUAAGGUAGUUAAGAUGCAGAAAAUAAGGAAACACCCCACAUCACUACAGUGCAUAACAAAUCUAUCACAUAAGCACAAAGAUAAAUACCGAGUGUAUUAGUUGAAACUUAGCAAAAACAAAAAGGACAUAAGCUUAUUCUCAAAAUUCAGAAUCUCACGUCACAAACCCGAGCUUAGUGCUCAAGGGUUGACAGUCAUGCCUUUUAUGCAAGAUCUAAGAAGUUAUGAUGCUCGUUAUUGUAAUGAAAAACUUUUGAAAAAUUUUGAAAUUUGGGCAAAAUUUGAAAUCCCCCAAGUUUAGACUAAACAAGCGAGCUAUUAUCC